AGCUUGGGCAGUGGCAGUAUCAUAGCCAAUGAGGCUUAUCUGAGGCACAAUUAUUAUUGCUAAUUGAAAACCUUUCCCAAUACCCUGCCAUGAUGCCUUGAAAUAUAGUCGGCAUUGGCAAUUUUUGACAGUUGCUAAGGAAA
ensembl:snRNA U4 U4 spliceosomal RNA